rnacentral:lncRNA from 1 species
CUAAAAUCUGCUUCCCAGGGAGAUGUGGCUCCAGUGGCUUCAGGUUUCUGUAUAAUGAAGUCCCUGAUUUCCCUUCUUUGAGUUGUAUAAACACACUGUGCUACCCAGUCUACUUGCUUUUCAGUGCCUACCCACCUUCAUUUUGUGUUCCAACAUGCGGGCUAUGUCUCUCUGGAACCAGCUGUUAACUGCCUACAUUCUACAGUAUUGAAGUCAGUGUCUCUAUUUUCUGUGCCUGUUUUCUUGCUUUUCACUUACCAUGAUCCUCUUGUUCUUCUAAUAAACUUCUUAACUUCCGGGAUGAGGGUAAAACCACAAAUUAAGCAUUACUGACAGGAAUGCUGACAUACGUAUGUGCUCUUUGGUUGUUAUCCAACGGCAGAUGACAAUUUAAAAUAUAUCCUAAUAAAUUUGUGCAACCUGA